GAUGAACGCUAGCGGCAGGCUUAACACAUGCAAGUCGAGGGGUAUAGGUUUUCGGACCUAGAGACCGGCGCACGGGUGCGUAACGCGUAUGCAAUCUACCUUUCACAGAGGGAUAGCCCAGCGAAAUUUGGAUUAAUACCUCAUAGUAUAGCAGUUUCGCAUGAAACCACUAUUAAAGUAUCAACGGUGAAAGAUGAGCAUGCGUCCCAUUCGCUAGAUGGUAAGGUAACGGCUUACCAUGGCUACGAUGGGUAGGGGUCCUGAGAGGGAGAUCCCCCACACUGGUACUGAGACACGGACCAGACUCCUACGGGAGGCAGCAGUGAGGAAUAUUGGUCAAUGGACGCAAGUCUGAACCAGCCAUGCCGCGUGCAGGAUGACGGUCCUAUGGAUUGUAAACUGCUUUUGUACGGGAAGAAACAACAUUACGUGUAAUGUCUUGACGGUAUCGUAAGAAUAAGGAUCGGCUAACUCCGUGCCAGCAGCCGCCGUAAUAC
rnacentral:rRNA from 1 species